GAUUAAGUUAUUAAGGGCGCACGGUGGAUGCCUUGGCACUAGAAGCCGAUGAAGGACGUUACUAACGACGAUAUGCUUUGGGGAGCUGUAAGUAAGCUGUAAUCCAGAGAUUUCCGAAUGGGGAAACCCAGCACGAGUUAUGUCGUGUUAUCGACAUGUGAAUAUAUAUCAUGUCUGAAGGCAUACCCGGAGAACUGAAACAUCUUAGUACCCGGAGGAAGAGAAAGAAAAAUCGAUUCCCUGAGUAGCGGCGAGCGAAACGGGAAGAGCCCAAACCAAUAAGCUUGCUUAUUGGGGUUGUAGGACACUCUAUACGGAGUUACAAAUGUAUAAAUUAGACGAAUUAUCUGGAAAGAUAAAUCAAAGAAGGUAAUAAUCCUGUAGUCGAAAAUUUAUACACUCUUGAGUGGAUCCUGAGUACGACGGAGCACGUGGAAUUCCGUCGGAAUCCGGGAGGACCAUCUCCCAAGGCUAAAUACUCUCUAGUGACCGAUAGUGAACCAGUACCGUGAGGGAAAGGUGAAAAGUACCCGGAAGGGGAGUGAAAGAGAACUUGAAACCGUGUGCUUACAAGUAGUCAGAGCCCGUUAAUGGGUGAUGGCGUGCCUUUUGUAGAAUGAACCGGCGAGUUACGAUCUGAUGCAAGGUUAAGCAGCAAAUGUGGAGCCGCAGCGAAAGCGAGUCUGAAUAGGGCGUUGAGUAUUUGGUCGUAGACCCGAAACCAGGUGAUCUACCCAUGACCAGGCUGAAGUUCAGGUAACACUGAAUGGAGGGCCGAACCGACUUACGUUGAAAAGUGAGCGGAUGAGUUGUGGGUAGCGGAGAAAUUCCAAUCGAACCUGGAGAUAGCUGGUUCUCUCCGAAAUAGCUUUAGGGCUAGCCUCAAGUGAUGAUUAUUGGAGGUAGAGCACUGUUUGGACGAGGGGCCCUUCUCGGGUUACCGAAUUCAGACAAACUCCGAAUGCCAAUCAAUUUAACUUGGGAGUCAGAACAUGGGUGAUAAGGUCCGUGUUCGAAAGGGAAACAGCCCAGACCACCAGCUAAGGUCCCAAAAUAUAUGUUAAGUGGAAAAGGAUGUGGCGUUGCCCAGACAACUAGGAUGUUGGCUUAGAAGCAGCCAUCAUUUAAAGAGUGCGUAAUAGCUCACUAGUCGAGUGACACUGCGCCGAAAAUGUACCGGGGCUAAACAUAUUACCGAAGCUGUGGAUUGUCCGUAGGACAAUGGUAGGAGAGCGUUCUAAGGGCGUUGAAGCAUGAUCGCAAGGACAUGUGGAGCGCUUAGAAGUGAGAAUGCCGGUGUGAGUAGCGAAAGACGGGUGAGAAUCCCGUCCACCGAUUGACUAAGGUUUCCAGAGGAAGGCUCGUCCGCUCUGGGUUAGUCGGGACCUAAGCUGAGGCCGAAAGGCGUAGGCGAUGGACAACAGGUUGAUAUUCCUGUACCACCUCAAUUCGUUUUAAGCGAUGGGGGACGCAGUAGGAUAGGCGAAGCGUACGAUUGGAUUGUACGUCCAAGCAGUAAGACUGAGUAUUAGGCAAAUCCGGUACUCGUAAGGUCAAGCUGUGAUGGGGAGAGGGAUUUAUUCCUCGAGUCGUUGAUUUCACACUGCCAAGAAAAUCCUCUAGCUAGAAUUAUGGUGCCCGUACCGCAAACCGACACAGGUAGUCAAGAUGAGAAUUCUAAGGUGAGCGAGCGAACUCUCGUUAAGGAACUCGGCAAAAUGACCCCGUAACUUCGGGAGAAGGGGUGCUUUCUAGGGUUCACGCCCAGGAAAGCCGCAGUGAAUAGGCCCAAGCGACUGUUUAUCAAAAACACAGGUCUCUGCUAAACCGUAAGGUGAUGUAUAGGGGCUGACGCCUGCCCGGUGCUGGAAGGUUAAGAGGAGUGGUUAGCUUCUGCGAAGCUACGAAUCGAAGCCCCAGUAAACGGCGGCCGUAACUAUAACGGUCCUAAGGUAGCGAAAUUCCUUGUCGGGUAAGUUCCGACCCGCACGAAAGGCGUAACGAUUUGGGCACUGUCUCAACGAGAGACUCGGUGAAAUCAUAGUACCUGUGAAGAUGCAGGUUACCCGCGACAGGACGGAAAGACCCCGUGGAGCUUUACUGUAGUCUGAUAUUGAAAUUCGGCACAGCUUGUACAGGAUAGGUAGGAGCCUUUGAUACGUGAGCGCUAGCUUACGUGGAGGCGUUGGUGGGAUACUACCCUCGCUGUGUUGGAUUUCUAACCCGCACCAUUGAUCAUGGUGGGAGACAGUGUCAGAUGGACAGUUUGACUGGGGCGGUCGCCUCCUAAAGAGUAACGGAGGCGCUCAAAGGUUCCCUCAGAAUGGUUGGAAAUCAUUCACAGAGUGUAAAGGCAUAAGGGAGCUUGACUGCGAGACUUACAAGUCGAGCAGGGUCGAAGACGGACUUAGUGAUCCGGUGGUUCCGCAUGGAAGGGCCAUCGCUCAACGGAUAAAAGCUACCCCGGGGAUAACAGGCUUAUCUCCCCCAAGAGUUCACAUCGACGGGGAGGUUUGGCACCUCGAUGUCGGCUCAUCGCAUCCUGGGGCUGUAGUCGGUCCCAAGGGUUGGGCUGUUCGCCCAUUAAAGCGGUACGCGAGCUGGGUUCAGAACGUCGUGAGACAGUUCGGUCCCUAUCCGUCGUGGGCGUAGGAAAUUUGAGAGGAGCUGUCCUUAGUACGAGAGGACCGGGAUGGACAUACCUCUGGUGUACCAGUUGUCGUGCCAACGGCAUCGCUGGGUAGCUAUGUAUGGACGGGAUAAGUGCUGAAAGCAUCUAAGCAUGAAGCCCCCCUCAAGAUGAGAUUUCCCAACUUCGGUUAUAAGAUCCUCAAAGAUGAUGAGGUUAAUAGGUUCGAGGUGGAAGCAUAGUGAUAUGUGGAGCUGACGAAUACUAAUCGAUCGAAGACUUAAUCAA
rnacentral:rRNA from 1 species